UACGGGGGGAGCAAGCGUUGUUCGGAUUUACUGGGCGUAAAGGGCGCGUAGGCGGCCACCGCAAGUCGACUGUGAAAUCUCUGGGCUUAACUCAGAGCCUGCAGGCGAAACUGCCGUGCUGGAGUGUGGGAGAGGUGCGUGGAAUUCCCGGUGUAGCGGUGAAAUGCGCAGAUAUCAGGAGGAACACCCGUAGCGAAGGCGGCACUCUGGGCCGAUACUGACACUGAGGAGCGAAAGCGUGGGGAGCGAACAGG
rnacentral:rRNA from 1 species